AGAGUUUGAUCCUGGCUCAGAUUGAACGCUGGAGGCGUGCUUAACACAUGCAAGUCGUGCGAGAAAGGGGCUUCGGCCCUGAGUAGAGCGGCGCACGGGUGAGUAACGCGUGGGUAAUCUCCCCUGGUGAUCGGGAUAACAGCGGGAAACUGCUGCUAAUACCGGAUAAUCUUCAUGUUUAACUUCAUGGGGUAAAGGUGGCCUCUGCUUGCAAGCUACCACAUCAGGAUGAGCCCGCGUCUCAUUAGCUAGUUGGUAGGGUAAUGGCCUACCAAGGCUACGAUGAGUAGCUGGUCUGAGAGGAUGACCAGCCACACUGGGACUGGAACACGGCCCAGACUCCUACGGGAGGCAGCAGUGGGGAAUAUUGCGCAAUGGGCGAAAGCCUGACGCAGCGACGCCUCGUGAGGGAUGAAGGUCUUCGGAUCGUAAACCUCUGUCAAGAGGGAAGAAACCCUUGAGUUCGAACAGGGCUCUUGGCUGACGGUACCUCUAAAGGAAGCACCGGCUAACUCCGUGCCAGCAGCCGCGGUAAUACGGAGGGUGCAAGCGUUAAUCGGAAUCACUGGGCGUAAAGCGCACGUAGGCGGCCUUGUAAGUCAGGGGUGAAAUCCCACGGCUCAACCGUGGAACUGCCUUUGAAACUGCAGGGCUUGAAUCCUGGAGAGGGUGGCGGAAUUCCUGGUGUAGGAGUGAAAUCCGUAGAUAUCAGGAGGAACACCGGUGGCGAAGGCGGCCACCUGGACAGGUAUUGACGCUGAGGUGCGAAAGUGUGGGGAGCAAACAGGAUUAGAUACCCUGGUAGUCCACACCGUAAACGAUGGAUACUAGGUGUCGGGGACUUGAUCUUCGGUGCCGUAGCUAACGCGUUAAGUAUCCCGCCUGGGGAGUACGGUCGCAAGCUAAACUCAAAGGAAAUUGACG
rnacentral:rRNA from 1 species